AAAUAUAAAAAUUUGCAGAAGUAUUUUUAUUUUGCAGAGAAUUGUUUACCUUUAACCCCCGAGGGGGAGACGCGUACAGAGGCAUUAGUGGCGGUGUAGGAAAAGCUACCUUGUUCAGGAAAAGGAACGAUAGCUUCUAAACUGCUACCAUUACAGGGAAGUGCACCAGGAGGCUUUCUCUCCCACACAUCAGCGCGGGCGGAAUCUGGCAGCAGGAAGCCAUUGCCUUUGAAGAGAGUCCAGGGGAGCUUCGGAAGGAACAUGUGGGCCAGAAUCUGCCAGCCGCCUUUAUUACCUCCGGAACUGCCUCCGAGUUGCAGUACCUACAGAGUGAUUCUUAAGAAGAUUUUGGUGGCAAUGAAUCUCGGAAAGCCUGUUGAUGUUUUCAUGGGGUCAGCAUUCCUCAUCUUCUAGUCAUGAAUACCAAAGAGGAAGUAUAAUACUGCAGGUAAAAGGAAAAUCCAGUCAUCCAAACAUUUUCGGACAUCUGAGCUAGAAGUGACGCACUGUAACAUAACCGAGAUCCAGCAAUUAAUUGGGAAAUAUUCGGCAACGUCUACCAAUCAUUUUGUGGAAGUAUAGAAGGGAAAUCUCUGGGCGAUUCCAUGACAGGAGCACAGCAUGAAGAAACACAGUCUGAGCAUGAACAGAAAAUCUUUCCAAAUCUCCACCUUCCUUUAGAAGAUUACUUCUGAGAUGAAGCGACAUCAAGCCUUCAUAUCCCUGAAUGUGAAAUGAGAAAUCUUCCCGCUGUCACUGCUUCUGCAGGAGAAGAGGUGGUGCAAGGUGCUCACAGAUGCCCUGUAUCCCACUCAGUGAUUUCAAGUGGGGCGGGCAUCACAAAGAAGCGAUGAGGCCGUACCUGGGCCUUAGCAGCAAAGAAACCAAAGUAAUUAGGUCAGAUUAAAGCAAAGAAAGAUCAAUGACUUUUCCAAACAGAGGUCUAAGUGACGUGACCACAAUCGCUUUGGCAAGAAAAAAAUUGUGGUGCAUAUGGUCACGGGCAGCAAUGCUUUAAUUUCCCAAUGUUUAGCUCACAUGACAUUGCUAUUAAACGUGUUUAACUUAGGAUGGCAUAUGCAGUCACUUCAGGAAAGUAUUUUUUGUCAAAAUAUUUGCUCAUGAUCUUUAAAAAUACAUAAACAGUUUUUCCAACACCAUUUCUUAAAGAGGCUAUCUUUCCUCCAGUAAGGGUGGGAAGGUUGGAGGUGCUGAAGGGAGGGAAGGAUCAAGGGGAAAAAACAAGAACCAAGGUACUUCAUGUAAAGGUACAGGAUCCCAGUGAUGAAUGUAACUGUAUUGUUUGCUUUAAAUGUGCCAAUAAACUUAAUGGGGAA
ensembl:lincRNA